rnacentral:rRNA from 1 species
AGCGAACGCUGGCGGCAGGCCUAACACAUGCAAGUCGAACGAAUUCUUCGGAGUUAGUGGCGGACGGGUGAGUAACACGUGGGAACGUGCCUUUUGGUUCGGAAUAACUCAGGGAAACUUGUGCUAAUACCGAAUGUGCCCUUCGGGGGAAAGAUUUAUCGCCAUUAGAGCGGCCCGCGUCUGAUUAGCUAGUUGGUGAGGUAACGGCUCACCAAGGCGACGAUCAGUAGCUGGUCUGAGAGGAUGACCAGCCACACUGGGACUGAGACACGGCCCAGACUCCUACGGGAGGCAGCAGUGGGGAAUCUUGCGCAAUGGGCGAAAGCCUGACGCAGCCAUGCCGCGUGAAUGAUGAAGGUCUUAGGAUUGUAAAAUUCUUUCACCGGGGACGAUAAUGACGGUACCCGGAGAAGAAGCCCCGGCUAACUUCGU